CCUCCACCUAGAUUUCAGAGGAUGUAUGGAAAUGCCUGGUUGUCUAGGCAGAAAUCUGUUGCAGGGGUGGAGCCCUCAUGGAGAAUCUUCACUAGGGCAAUGCAGAGGGGACAUGUAAGGUUGGAGCCCCUACCCUGAGUCCCUACUGGGGCACUGCCUAGUGAAGCUGUGAGAAGAGGGCCACUGUCCUCCAAACCUCUGAAUAGUAGAUAUACUGACAGCUUGUGCUGUGCACCUGGAAAAGCCAUGGGCACUCAAUGUUAGCCAAUGAAAGCAGCUGGAGGGGCUUUACCCUGCAGAGCCAUAGGGGCUGAGCUGUCCAAGGCCUUGGGAGCCCACCUCUUGCAUCACUGUGUCCUAGAUGUGAGAUAUGGAGUCAAAGGAGAUUAUUUUGGAUCUUUAAGAUUUAAUGGCUGCCCUGCUGGGUUUCAAACUUGCAUGUGAUUCCUUUGUUUUGGCCAUUUUUUUCCAUUUGGAAUGGGAACACUUACACAAUGCCUGUCCCCCCACUGUAUCUUGGAAGGAACUAACUUAUUUUUUACUUUACAGGCUUAUAGGUGGAAGAGACUUGCCUUGUCUCAGGGAAGAGAUGAGGAAUGACACUUUGAAGGUUCUUGGAUUGCUACUCAAUUUUAGCCGUGACUUUGGCAUCAAUUUAUCCUAAAUGCUUCUCUGAAUUCGGUCAUUCAGGUGCGCUGCUUUUACUGAGCAUCUUUGGUCCACUGUGUUCCGGGAGGGUGCUUGAUAGAUAUUGGGGGCUGAGUCACCACAACAGCUGGUCUUGAUCACCUCAAGGGUCUCUGCCACCACCAGUGAAGGAGCCAGGGGCCACUGUUGCCAUUGCCACUUCUAGAAACUCCAGGCCUGCUGUUAACUAUGCUGGGAAUUCAGAUACCUAUGGGACCCUAGAGUAAAAUGGACUGUGUCCCAAAGUAUUAGAGCCUUUCAUGAAAGAGGUCCACCAAUUCACAUGCCCACACACUUCACUGAUUCUCUACACUGCCAGGAUGGAACUGAGCACAGCUCACCAGUUCAGAGUCCUUCUAUCCUUGUGGUGAAUUCCUCUUAGGGGCUCCACAAUCCUUUCUUGCAACCUAACCUCAGACUAGGGGCAUUUGCAUACAUCAGGCCUAUUUUUAUAUCCUUGAUUUUAAAUGAGGAUCAGAGUUCCAGUCCCUUUUUACCCCUGGGAGAAUCCCAAUGUUUAAUGUAAUUUGGUCUAUGCACAUAGAUAUAAAAGGAUUCUUCUUAUCUCUAUGUGCUGCAGACAUAGAGGUGCUAAUGUAAGCAGGUGCUCUGAGGGGUGGGUUCAGGAAGCAUGCCAGUGGUGCCAGGCGGGGGAUGGAUGUUGUCUGCUCGUCUCAGCCACACUGGAACCCAGACUCUUGCCUAGCCAAAAUAUGCUGCUAGUCUUGCUUGGUAAUAGACAGUUAGCCUUAACUUUGUUUUUCCAAUGACUUUUCCUUCACUCUCAUGUUUCAGAGUCUUUUCCUAGUUUUUGGCACUGCUGACAUACCUACAUCUUGGAUUAUUCUCCCCUGCUUGCUAAUCCUGUACCACUGGCUUUCUGUUGGUUUGCUUUCUUCCUUCUCUUUCUCUUGUUCUCAGUGUUGACUCCUUCUCCUGCCUUGUAAUUGAAGGCUUUCACUCAGGUUCUACUUCCAUUUUUUGAGAUGAAGGCUCACCAUGUUGCCCAGGCUGGUCUCAAACUGAAUGGGCUCAGGGAUCUCUGGGCUCAGUCUCCUCAGUAGCUGGGAUUACAGGCAUGAACCACAGCACCUGGCCCCCUAUUUUCCCCCUUUCUGACAUUAGGUUUCCUAUCUAUUUGCUUACUUACUCACCCACUCCUUAUUCACUUAUUUACUGAGUUUCUUUCAUGUCUCUGUUAUGAUGUUGGGCAUGAGGAAUACCGAGAUGAAUAAAACCUAGUUUCUACUUUCAGGGAGUCAUAGAAACUGAUAAGGCAAAAUCUGACCCAGUACCUGGCUCUUUCUACUCAUAGUCUAGCACUCAUUGCCCUCUAUCAAAAGGCUAAGGCUUGAUUUUAAUCUCACAUCUUUCAUGAAUCCCAUGAUUCAUGAAAGAUGUGAGAUUAAAUGUAAGCUAGCACCACUAGCUUACAUUGAUUUUCUUCUCUAUACUGUUCUGAUCAGGAGAGCUGGAGUUUUUACCUUCAAUAGUUUGUUACCUUGGGUAAUUCAUUUAACCUGUGUUAGACUUAACAUCUGUCUGUGACAUGAAGAGGUUAUACGACUAGGGUCCUUCCAUUGUCAAAAUUAUAUUCCUAUGAUCAUAUACAAUUGUGGGGAGGGGGAGAUGGCUAAUAUAAAAAAGCAAUUAUAUAGUGAAACAAGUACUUACAAAAAUAAAAGAAAAAACCAACUUAUGGGUGACAGCCUCAUGAGAGUUGCUAGUACAUCAUAAAAUUGUUGGUUGGGCCUGAAAAAUAUCCAUCCUUAUCACCUAUUAUAAUUCAGCCAGCUGCGGCCAGGUGCAGUGGCUCAUGUCUGUAAUCUCAGCACUUUGGGAGGCCGAGGCGGGCAGAUCACCUGAGGUCGGGAGUUCGAGACCAGCCUCACCAGCAUGGAGAAACCCUGUCUCUACUAAAAAUACAAAAUUAGCCGGGUGUGGUGGCACGUGCAUGUGAUUCCAGCUACUCGGGAGACUGAGGCAGGAGAAUUUCUUGAAUCCGGGAGGUGGAGGUUGUGGUGAGCCAAGAUCACACCCUUGCACUCCAGCCUGGGCAACAAGAGCAAAACUCUAUCUCAAAAAAAAAAAAAAAAAAAUUAGCCUGUUGCCAGACCCAUUACCAUGCUCAGGUAAGGGAAGGCAGACAUGGGAGUGGCUGGAGUUAAAGCAGAAUAAAGUUGGCAGCCUUAAAUUUUCUGGAAGUAUUGUCCUUGUAUAGAAAUUGUCCUAAGGUCAUUGACCUUUAUAGUGAAUUUGUGCCUUAAUCUCUAAAUAUAUAAAGGUCAUUUAUGUUAAAUAAAGUUUUGCUUUGGAUCUUAAAAAUAACUUUCUGAUGAGAAAAGUGAUAUAUGGACACUGUUUUCUUACUCAUUGAUACUUUGAAUUUAAAGAAGAGAGGCUUACUCAAGGUAGUUGACUAAAGUGGGGUGUGUGUGUGUGUGCGUGCGUGUGCAUGCACGCACAUGUGUAAGAUUGUAGAAAGAAUAUAUCAGGCAGUCUCUCAUGGGCAUCCAAGACCAGGAACAAGGCACACAGAAACUGAAACAAGAAAGUCAGCAGCUCAGGCUCCACUACCCUUUCCAGUGGGCCGGUGUUCCCUUUGUCAUGACUUGUUUCUGAGUCUAGCUUCUCUUUGAAACAGGGUCUCUCUUGUCACUGAUGGUUUCUUUGCUCCCUUAUGACUUCAGCUUGGGGAUCGCUUUGGUUUGGUUUGACACCUACUCCAGCCCCAACUCUACACAACUUUGCAGAAAAGUACCUACCAGCAUCUUACUAAUUAGUCUCUGUGUUUGUUAGAGUUCUUAUGACAGCAGAAGGCCAUAAUUCAAAUGAAUUUAAGAAAAACAAAGAAUAUUUUUGGCUUGUACAAUCAGGAAGGAUAUUGUUGGCCAGCCUCAGGCAUGACUGAUCCAGUCAUACACAAUACUGUCCAAAUGCUAUCUCUGUCUCUUAGCUGCAUUUCUAUUUGCGUGUUGUCCUCAUGAAUCCAGACCACAGAAAGGCUCUUUCCGUGCAGCAGUGGAAGGGUGAGGCUGGGCACGGCUACUGAAAGCUCAGGGUUGCAUCAUUAUAGCUUUUGAGCCCAGAGGACAGAGCUUUUCCUAACUCUGCUCCAGCAUAUGGAUUCUAAAGGAAGAAUCCUUGACCUGCCUUGGGUUGGAUGGUCACUCUGGAUCAGUCACUAGGGUUGGGUGAUGGAUAUUAUAAUAGAUCAUGUUCCCUUUCCUGAACUUUGGCUUUAUAUUGUGAUGUUGGCUUUAUAUUGUGAUACUAUAUAGUCCCACUAGAAUCACAUGGUUUAUGUAAUGGGGAAGGAGCUGCUGCCUAAAAGGGAAUGAGGUAGUGGUUAGUAGAAGAAAAUAGGAAAGAAUGUUUAAAACAGCAGGUAUCUACCACAGUUU
rnacentral:lncRNA from 1 species